rnacentral:rRNA from 1 species
ACUCCUACGGGAGGCAGCAGUGGGGAAUAUUGCACAAUGGGCGCAAGCCUGAUGCAGCCAUGCCGCGUGUAUGAAGAAGGCCUUCGGGUUGUAAAGUACUUUCAGCAGUGAGGAAGGUGGAUAUGUUAAUAGCAUAUUCUAUUUGUACGUUAGCUGCAGAAGAAGCACCGGCUAACUCCGUGCCAGCAGCCGCGGUAAUACGGAGGGUGCGAGCGUUAAUCGGAAUUACUGGGCGUAAAGCGCAUGCAGGUGGUUUGUUAAGUCAGAUGUGAAAGCCCGGGGCUCAACCUCGGAAUUGCAUUUGAAACUGGCAAACUAGAGUACUGUAGAGGGGUAGAAUUUCAGGUGUAGCGGUGAAAUGCGUAGAGAUCUGAAGGAAUACCGGU